UUUAAAAAUGUAAAUGAGGAAACUAACAUAAUCACCACGAAGAACACAUGAAUCGGAGGGAAUCUGCCCACAAAUUCUGUGUUAGAAUACAGGAGACUUGCUACACGCAGGCUCAUUUUAUUCAGUGCCAAACCACGAAGACAAUCAGCUGUAUCAACCACUUGCAUGUCGCCCGCACCUGAUAACGACUGUGAUGCCGUUCAGCCAGAAAAACUGUUCCUGGUUGGUUGCGUUUCCCAGGAGGACGGUCGCGACCAGCCACGCCACAGUCUCGGCCCAGCGCAUCAGGUGCUUGUCGUACUCCCCCUGGACGCUCCAGUAGCUCAGCAGCCCGACCGCCUGGGGACACGCCCCGGUGCUCAGCCGUCAGCUGCCCGCAUCUGGACCUGCUCUGCGUCAAGUCGAGUCAAGAUGCCUUGUAUCGCUGUUCCGCCAUCAGAGCCAAGUUGGGAGAUGCCUCUGACCGGUGAACACGGCACGGUACCUGGGGCAGGAUGAUCCGUGCUUCGGCCUGGUUGGCACGGCUCACGGAGGGAUCGAUGCUGACGCUCAGAGCCGUGCACAGCACGCACCACUGCUGCAGCACGGACCUUGCUGCGCUGCUCCCCUGCACAGCCACAGGGCACCGCCUGACAGGCACUAGGCACUCCCACUAAACACGUUCACAUUACCAACAUGCCAUACCUAUUACAUCUUUCAGUAACUGUUCUUUUAUUGCUUUAUAGUCAAUCAAAGGUUGCAUACCAGUAACACAAAAAUGGAUGGUGUGUGCAUUAUGAGGCUUAGGUAGAAACAUUUGCUGCUACCUGUGCAAAGCUUUAGUGGUGUUUCACUCUGAAGCUACGAUACUCAAUAUGUACUUCUGAAUUAUCUCUUGGAACUAAUAAAAUAACAAAAAACUGUAGUGUUUACAUAUAAAAAUUACUUUCUUCUCUUAAUUUUAAAGUGACAUGAGACAACAAUUUCAAAAGGACAGAAUUAGUAAUUUCUUCUUCAGUUUUUGUAAUGAAUAUUUGAGUACAGUAAGUUCAUGAUUUUUAGACACUUGUUUAACAGACAUUAGUUACAACGGACAUUAUAUUUUGUUGCUUGUGAUUUUGUAAACGGACGCCAAACUCGUUGCUGCAGACAUUUCCGCGUCGCAACUUACAAACAGGCGGGCUUGAUAAUACUUGAAUAACCUGUAUAUAUAUUCAAAUCAAAGCGUGAAUAAUUCUUGCAGGCAUGCAUAAUGGGUAUCAGAUUACCAGUUUUUUUUCAAAUAGUGUCUGCAUAUCUUUCCUCCCGCGCCUAUAAACAAGGAGGGUAAUAUGCAGCGCUAAUAUUUACGAUGCAAAUGUAACUCAUCCAUUCGCCAGUCCAUUCGUCCCGAUAUGACUGGAGAAUCUGUGCAGGUCAUCGGACUGUGACGUACACAAGCCAUUCCAUUAAGUGUUGUAGCCAGCCAUUAGUACUUUGUCUUUGCAGUGUGUUUACUUGAAAUAGAUUGUGCCGGGUGCUCGUGACCUUGAGUAUCGGUGAUAUCC